rnacentral:sRNA from 2 species
UUUUACAAUUUAAUAUUUAUUGUGUUUGGAAGUGAGGUUUGAUCCCUCCACUGUGCCGCAACGGUAAUAUCCUGACUUAUGUCUGGGUGAGUCCGAUCUUAACACAAUAAUUGUUUUCCCGAGCAGGAUAAAGAAUUUAUUUUUCUUUGAAU